rnacentral:rRNA from 1 species
AGAGUUUGAUCCUGGCUCAGGGUGAACGCUGGCGGCGUGGAUAAGGCAUGCAAGUCGAACGCACUUUUUAAGUGAGUGGCAGACGAGUUCAUAACACGUGGGUAAUCUGCCCCUAACACUGGUAUAGCCCGUUGAAAAGCGGGGUAAAACCAGAUAGUCCCAGUUUCUGAAAUGAUUCUGGGUAAAACUCCGGUGGUUAGGGAGGAGCCCGCGGCCUAUCAGCUUGUUGGUGAGGUAAUGGCUCACCAAGGCUAUGACGGGUAGGUGGCCCGAGAGGGUGGUCGCCAACGAGGUCACUGAAACACGGGGCCUACUCCUACGGGAGGCAGCAGCCGAGAAUCUUGCGCAAUGGGGGAAACCCUGACGCAGCGACGCCGCGUGUCCGAAGAAGCUCUACGGAGUGUAAAGGACUUUUCUGGAGGAAGAACCUUCGGGUGACUGUACUCCAGGAAUAAGGGGGGGCUAAUCACGUGCCAGCAGCAGCGGUAAAACGUGACCCUCAAGCGUUACCCGGAGUUAUUGGGCGUAAAGCGUCUGUAGGCGGUAUGGUAAGUUUAAAGUAAAAGCCCUCGGGCUUAACCUGAGGAAUGCUUUGAAAACUGCCAAACUAGGGGGUGUCAGGGGCUGAUGGAACACACGGUGUAGGGGUGAAAUCCGUUGAUAUCGUGUGGAACACCAAAAGCGAAGGCAUUCAGCUGGGGCAACCCCGACGCUGAGAGACGAAAGCCAGGGUAGCGAAUGGGAUUAGAUACCCCAGUAGUCCUGGCCGUAAACGAUGGAUGCUAGCUAUUGCAAGUGUCGACCCUUGCAGUGGCGAAGCUAACGCGUUAAGCAUCCCGCCUGGGAAGUACAGCUGCAAGGCUGAAACUCAAAGGAAUAGACGGGGGCCUACACAAGCGGUGGAUCAUGUGGCUUAAUUCGAUAACAAGCGAGGAACCUUACCAGGGCUUGACAUUCUAGUGAAUGCUAUGGGAGACCAUAGUUUCCACAAGGACACUAGAACAGGUGAUGCAUGGUCAUCGUCAGCAGGUGCCGUGAGGUGCUCUCUUAAAUGAGGAAACCUGCGAAACCCUUACUCUAUGUUUUACGUGUCAUAGAGAACUGCCCGCGUAUAGCGGGAGGAAGGUGAGGAUGAUGUUAGAUCAGCAUGUCCUUUAUGUCCUGGGCUGCACACAUGAUACAAUGGUCGGUACAGCGAGUUGCGAAGUCGUAAGGCGGAGCCAAUCUCUUAAAACCGAUCUCAGUCCGGAUUGGGGUCUGCAACCCGACCCCAUGAAGUCGGAAUCGCUAGUAAUCGCGAAUCAGCACGUCGCGGUGAAUACGUUCCUAGGCCUUGUACUCACCGCCCAUCACUUUAAGCGAGCUGGGAACACCCGAAGU